GACGAACGCUGGCGGCGUGCUUAACACAUGCAAGUCGAACGGAAAGGCCCUGCUUUUGUGGGGUGCUCGAGUGGCGAACGGGUGAGUAACACGUGAGUAACCUGCCCUUGACUUUGGGAUAACUUCAGGAAACUGGGGCUAAUACCGGAUAGGAGCUCCUGCUGCAUGGUGGGGGUUGGAAAGUUUCGGCGGUUGGGGAUGGACUCGCGGCUUAUCAGCUUGUUGGUGGGGUAGUGGCUUACCAAGGCUUUGACGGGUAGCCGGCCUGAGAGGGUGACCGGCAACAUGGGAACGGGAUUACGGCCCGAACUCUUACGGAGGGAAGCGGGGGGGAAUAUGGCACAUGGGGCGGAGGCCGAAGGCGGAAACGCGGGGUGCGGGAGGAGGGCCUUCGGGUGGAAAACGGCUUUCGCCUGUGACGAAGGGGAGGGAAGGUAAUGGGGUAAGAAGGCACGGCUAAAUUAGGG
rnacentral:rRNA from 1 species